GAGUUUGAUCAUGGCUCAGAUUGAACGCUGGCGGCAGGCCUAACACAUGCAAGUCGAGCGGAUGACGGGAGCUUGCUCCUUGAUUUCAGCGGCGGACGGGUGAGUAAUGCCUAGGAAUCUGCCUGGUAGUGGGGGACAACGUUUCGAAAGGAACGCUAAUACCGCAAUACGUCCUACGGGAGAAAGCAGGGGACCUUCGGGCCUUGCGCUAUCAGAUGAGCCUAGGUCGGAUUUAGCUAGUUGGUGGGGUAAUGGCUCACCAAGGACGACGAUCCGUAACUGGUCUGAGAGGAUGAUCAGUCACACUGGAACUGAGACACGGUCCAGACUCCUACGGGAGGCAGCAGUGGGGGAAUAUUGGACAAUGGGCGAAAGCCUGAUCCAGCCAUGCCGCGUGUGUGAAGAAGGUCUUCGGAUUGUAAAGCACUUUAAGUUGGGAGGAAGGGCAGUAAGUUAAUACCUUGCUGUUUUGACGUUACCGACAGAAUAAGCACCGGCUAACUCUGUGCCAGCCGCCG
rnacentral:rRNA from 1 species